rnacentral:rRNA from 1 species
CGCCGCGGUUAUACGGGCAGGCCUAAGUUGACAAACUACGGCGUAAAGAGUGGUUAAGUAAAUUUUUAAGUAAAGCAAAACCACCUCAAAGCAGUUAUACGCAUUUGAGCCAUGAAAAUCAAAAACGAAAGUAGCUUUAUACCCCUGAAUCCACGAAAGCUAAGGAA